rnacentral:pre_miRNA from 1 species
AAUGUGAUUGCUGGAUUUUAUGGUAAGAGUAUGUUUAAUUUUGUAAGAAACUGCCAAACUGUCUCCCAAAUUGGUUGUACCAUUUUGCCUUCCCAACAGCAAU